rnacentral:tRNA from 1 species
GACCCGGUAGUAAAGCGGUUAUACAGCGGUCUGCAAAACCGUUCAGGCGGGUUCGACUCCCGCCCGGGUCUCCA